GAUGAACGCUGGCGGCGUGCCUAAUACAUGCAAGUCGAGCGAACGGACGAGAAGCUUGCUUCUCUGAUGUUAGCGGCGGACGGGUGAGUAACACGUGGAUAACCUCCCUAUAAGACUGGGAUAACUUCGGGAAACCGGCGCUAAUACCGUAUAAUAUUUUGAACCGCAUGGUUCAAAAGUGAAAGACGGUCUUGCUGUCUCUUCUAGAUGGAUCCGCGCUGCAUUAGCUAGUUGGUAGGGUAACGGCUUACCAAGGCUACGAUGCAUAGCCGACCUGAGAGGGGGAUCGGCCACACGGGAACUGAGACACGGUCAAGACUCCUAAGGGAGGCAGCAGUAGGGAAUGUUACGCAAUGGGGGAAAGCCUGACGGAGCAACGCCGAGUGAGUGAUGAAGGUCUUCGGAUCGUAAAACUCUGUUAUUAGGGAAGAACAGAUGUGUAAGUAACUGUGCACAGCUUGACGGUACCUAAUCAGAAAGCCACGGCUAACUACGUG
rnacentral:rRNA from 1 species